GCAGCAGUGAGGAAUAUUGGUCAAUGGGCGAGAGCCUGAACCAGCCAAGUAGCGUGAAGGAUGACUGCCCUAUGGGUUGUAAACUUCUUUUAUAAAGGAAUAAAGUCGGGUAUGCAUACCCGUUUGCAUGUACUUUAUGAAUAAGGAUCGGCUAACUCCGUGCCAGCAGCCGCGGUAAUACGGAGGAUCCGAGCGUUAUCCGGAUUUAUUGGGUUUAAAGGGAGCGUAGAUGGAUGUUUAAGUCAGUUGUGAAAGUUUGCGGCUCAACCGUAAAAUUGCAGUUGAUACUGGAUAUCUUGAGUGCAGUUGAGGCAGGCGGAAUUCGUGGUGUAGCGGUGAAAUGCUUAGAUAUCACGAAGAACUCCGAUUGCGAAGGCAGCCUGCUAAGCUGCAACUGACAUUGAGGCUCGAAAGUGUGGGUAUCAAACAGGAUUAGAUACCCUGGUAGUCCACACGGUAAACGAUGAAUACUCGCUGUUUGCGAUAUACGGCAAGCGGCCAAGCGAAAGCGUUAAGUAUUCCACCUGGGGAGUACGCCGGCAACGGUGAAACUCAAAGGAAUUGACGGGGGCCCGCACAAGCGGAGGAACAUGUGGUUUAAUUCGAUGAUACGCGAGGAACCUUACCCGGGCUUAAAUUGCAGAUGAAUUACGGUGAAAGCCGUAAGCCGCAAGGCAUCUGUGAAGGUGCUGCAUGGUUGUCGUCAGCUCGUGCCGUGAGGUGUCGGCUUAAGUGCCAUAACGAGCGCAACCCUUGUUGUCAGUUACUAACAGGUUCUGCUGAGGACUCUGACAAGACUGCCAUCGUAAGAUGUGAGGAAGGUGGGGAUGACGUCAAAUCAGCACGGCCCUUACGUCCGGGGCUACACACGUGUUACAAUGGGGGGUACAGAGGGCCGCUACCACGCGAGUGGAUGCCAAUCCCUAAAACCCCUCUCAGUUCGGACUGGAGUCUGCAACCCGACUCCACGAAGCUGGAUUCGCUAGUAAUCGCGCAUCAGCCACGGCGCGGUGAAUACGUUCCCGGGCCUUGUACACACCGCCCGUCAAGCCAUGGGAGCCGGGGGUACCUGAAGUGCGUAACCGCGAGGAGCGCCCUAGGGUAAAACUGGUGACUGGGGCUAAGUCGUAACAAGGUAGCCGUACCGGAAGGUGCGGCUG
rnacentral:rRNA from 1 species